AGGCUUUGAUCCUGGCUCAGGACGAACGCUGGCGGCGUGCCUAACACAUGCAAGUCGAACGGGGUCCUAGGGUAGCUUGCUACCCGAAAGACCUAGUGGCGCACGGGUGAGUAACACGUGGGCAAUCUGCCCGGAAGACUGGGAUAACAGCCCGAAAGGGCUGCUAAUACCGGAUACCUUUGCGGAAUCGCAUGAUUCUGUAAAGAAAUGUUUUAUCGCUUCCGGAUGAGCCCGCGUCCCAUUAGCUAGUUGGUGAGGUAACGGCUCACCAAGGCAACGAUGGGUAGCUGGUCUGAGAGGACGAUCAGCCACACUGGAACUGAGACACGGUCCAGACUCCUACGGGAGGCAGCAGUGGGGAAUCUUGCGCAAUGGGCGAAAGCCUGACGCAGCAACGCCGUGUGAACGAUGAAGGCCUUAGGGUCGUAAAGUUCUGUCAAGGGGGAAGAAAAUCUGACGGUACCCUUGGAGGAAGCUCCGGCGUAA
rnacentral:rRNA from 1 species